rnacentral:tRNA from 1 species
GACCGCGUGCGCGAGUGGCUAGCGAUCUGUCUGCAAAACAGAUUACUCGGGUCCGAAUCCCGACGCGGUCUCCA